rnacentral:lncRNA from 1 species
CAGAGGGGAAGAGGCGCUACGUCUAGGAAUCAGCAACACGAAAACUUUGUUAUAAACUGCCCCCUUUCCUUAGCGGGAUCGGGACUAAGAAGAAUGGUUGGGAUAACAAACAUCCAUCUCGUUCGUACUGUGGAUACCCGUAUAACCAUCGAAGACUGUUGAAGUGAUUAAUUCCUGUAAAUUAAGGGGCGUUGAGAACAAAGAAAUUGUUGGAGUUUCCGGUUUUAUCUAGC